rnacentral:snRNA from 1 species
UUGCUUGCUUCUGUAGCACAUACACUAAAAUUGAAUGAAACAGAGAUGAUUACCUUGGCCCCUGCAGGAUGUCAUGCAAAUUUGUGAAGCAUUCCAAUAAAAA